UACGGAGGGUGCGAGCGUUAAUCGGAAUUACUGGGCGUAAAGCGUACGUAGGCGGUUUGUUAAGUCGGAUGUGAAAUCCCCGGGCUCAACCUGGGUGCUGCAUUCGAUACUGGCAGACUUGAAUACGGUAGAGGGGGGUGGAAUUUCAGGUGUAGCGGUGGAAUGCGCAGAUAUCAGGAGGAACACCAACGGCGAAGGCAGCUCGCUGGGACGGUACUGACACUGAGGCGCGAAAGCGUGGGGAGCGAACAGG
rnacentral:rRNA from 1 species